GACGAACGCUGGCGGCGUGCCUAACACAUGCAAGUGGGGCGACGAACCAGGCUUCGGCCUGGGGCAAAGCCGCGAACGGGUGAGUAACACGUGGGUAACCUGCCCUGAUGAUUGGGACAACCCGAGGAAACUCGGGCUAAUACCGAAUGUGCCCUCCGGCCUCAAGGCCGCUGGGGAAAGGAAGCUUCGGCCUCCGCAUCGGGAUGGGCCCGCGGCCCAUUAGCUUGUUGGUGAGGUACCGGCUCACCAAGGCGACGAUGGGGAGCUGGUCUGAGCGGACGAUCGGCACCACUGGGACUGAGACACGGCCCAGACUCCUACGGGAGGCAGCAGUGGGGAAUCUUGCGCAAUGCGCGAAAGCGUGACGCAGCAACGCCGCGUGGGGGAAGAAGGCCUUCGGGUUGUAAACCCCUUUCAGUUGGGACGAAGCUCUGCCGGUGAAUAGCCGGUUGGAGUGACGGUACCUUCAGAAGAAGCCCCGGCUAACUACGUGCCAGCCGCCGCGGUAAAAC
rnacentral:rRNA from 1 species